UCCGUGCCAGCAGCCGCGGUAAUACGGAGGGUGCGAGCGUUAAUCGGAAUUACUGGGCGUAAAGGGUGCGUAGGUGGUUGAUUAAGUUAUCUGUGAAAUUCCUGGGCUUAACCUGGGACGGUCAGAUAAUACUGGUUGACUCGAGUAUGGGAGAGGGUAGUGGAAUUUCCGGUGUAGCGGUGAAAUGCGUAGAGAUCGGAAGGAACACCAGUGGCGAAGGCGGCUACCUGGCCUAAUACUGACACUGAGGCACGAAAGCGUGGGGAGCAAACAGGAUUAGAUACCCUGGUAGUCCACGCUGUAAACGAUGUCAACU
rnacentral:rRNA from 1 species